rnacentral:misc_RNA from 1 species
GAUGAAGAACGCAGCGAAAUGCGAUAAGUAAUGCGAAUUGCAGAAUUUCCGUGAGUCAUCGAAUCUUUGAACGCAUAUUGCGCCCCGUGGUAUUCCGCGGGGCACGUCCGACCGAGCGCCGCUGCUACGCUCGGGAGGCUUCCUAGCGAAGCGCUCCCGGUGUUGGGGGAUGUUCUCGACCCUCGAGAGCACUCCCGAAAAUCAGCGGCGGCCCCCAAGGCUCCCAGACGAAGUCACUGCAACGGCGUCUAGGGUCGGCCGGCGGGGCCCGUCUCCUGCUAUUUUUGAGUCUAAUCAAAAAGUUGGCCUCGGGUCGGACGAGGUUACCCGCUGAACUUAAGCAUAUCAAUAAGCGGAGGA